rnacentral:tRNA from 1 species
GCUCGGGUGGCGAAAUGGCAUACGCAGAGCACUCAAAAUGCUCCGGGCUUCGGCCCAUGUGGGUUCGAGUCCCACCCCGAGCA